UUAAGCGACUAAGCGUACACGGUGGAUGCCCUGGCAGUCAGAGGCGAUGAAGGACGUGCUAAUCUGCGAAAAGCGCCGGCGAGGUGAUAUGAACCUUUGACCCGGCGAUGUCCGAAUGGGGAAACCCAGUGCAAUCCGUUGCACUAUCGUUAACUGAAUACAUAGGUUAACGAGGCGAACCGGGGGAACUGAAACAUCUAAGUACCCCGAGGAAAAGAAAUCAACCGAGAUUCCCCCAGUAGCGGCGAGCGAACGGGGAGCAGCCCGGAGUCUGAAUCAGCUUGUGUGUUAGUGGAACGGUCUGGAAAGUCCGACGGUACAGGGUGAUAGUCCCGUACACGAAAGCACACUUGCUGUGAACUCGAAGAGUAGGGCGGGACACGUGGUAUCCUGUCUGAAUAUGGGGGGACCAUCCUCCAAGGCUAAAUACUCCUGACUGACCGAUAGUGAACCAGUACCGUGAGGGAAAGGCGAAAAGAACCCCGGCGAGGGGAGUGAAAAAGAACCUGAAACCGUGUACGUACAAGCAGUGGGAGCCUCUUUAUGGGGUGACUGCGUACCUUUUGUAUAAUGGGUCAGCGACUUAUAUUCUGUAGCAAGGUUAACCGUAUAGGGGAGCCGAAGGGAAACCGAGUCUUAACUGGGCGUUAAGUUGCAGGGUAUAGACCCGAAACCCGGUGAUCUAGCCAUGGGCAGGUUGAAGGUUGGGUAACACUAACUGGAGGACCGAACCGACUAAUGUUGAAAAAUUAGCGGAUGACCUGUGGCUGGGGGUGAAAGGCCAAUCAAACCGGGAGAUAGCUGGUUCUCCCCGAAAGCUAUUUAGGUAGCGCCUCGUGAACUCAUCUUCGGGGGUAGAGCACUGUUUCGGCUAGGGGGCCAUCCCGGCUUACCAACCCGAUGCAAACUACGAAUACCGAAGAAUGUUAUCACGGGAGACACACGGCGGGUGCUAACGUCCGUCGUGAAGAGGGAAACAACCCAGACCGCCAGCUAAGGUCCCAAAGUCAUGGUUAAGUGGGAAACGAUGUGGGAAGGCACAGACAGCCAGGAUGUUGGCUUAGAAGCAGCCAUCAUUUAAAGAAAGCGUAAUAGCUCACUGGUCGAGUCGGCCUGCGCGGAAGAUGUAACGGGGCUAAACCAUGCACCGAAGCUGCGGCAGCGACGCUUAUGCGUUGUUGGGUAGGGGAGCGUUCUGUAAGCCGUUGAAGGUGUCCUGUGAGGGGUGCUGGAGGUAUCAGAAGUGCGAAUGCUGACAUAAGUAACGAUAAAGCGGGUGAAAAGCCCGCUCGCCGGAAGACCAAGGGUUCCUGUCCAACGUUAAUCGGGGCAGGGUGAGUCGACCCCUAAGGCGAGGCCGAAAGGCGUAGUCGAUGGGAAACAGGUUAAUAUUCCUGUACUUGGUGUUACUGCGAAGGGGGGACGGAGAAGGCUAUGUCAGCCGGGCGACGGUUGUCCCGGUUUAAGCAUGUAGGCGGAGGUUCCAGGUAAAUCCGGUACCUUAUUAACGCUGAGGUGUGAUGACGAGGCACUACGGUGCUGAAGUGAUAAAUGCCCUGCUUCCAGGAAAAGCCUCUAAGCAUCAGGUAACACGAAAUCGUACCCCAAACCGACACAGGUGGUCAGGUAGAGAAUACCAAGGCGCUUGAGAGAACUCGGGUGAAGGAACUAGGCAAAAUGGUGCCGUAACUUCGGGAGAAGGCACGCUGAUAUGUAGGUGAAGUCCCUGCGGACGGAGCUGAAAUCAGUCGAAGAUACCAGCUGGCUGCAACUGUUUAUUAAAAACACAGCACUGUGCAAACACGAAAGUGGACGUAUACGGUGUGACGCCUGCCCGGUGCCGGAAGGUUAAUUGAUGGGGUUAGCGGCAACGCGAAGCUCUUGAUCGAAGCCCCGGUAAACGGCGGCCGUAACUAUAACGGUCCUAAGGUAGCGAAAUUCCUUGUCGGGUAAGUUCCGACCUGCACGAAUGGCGUAAUGAUGGCCAGGCUGUCUCCACCCGAGACUCAGUGAAAUUGAACUCGCUGUGAAGAUGCAGUGUACCCGCGGCAAGACGGAAAGACCCCGUGAACCUUUACUAUAGCUUGACACUGAACACUGGUCCUUGAUGUGUAGGAUAGGUGGGAGGCUUUGAAGCGUGGACGCCAGUCUGCGUGGAGCCAACCUUGAAAUACCACCCUUUAAUGGCUGGUGUUCUAACGUAGACCCGUAAUCCGGGUUGCGGACAGUGUCUGGUGGGUAGUUUGACUGGGGCGGUCUCCUCCCAAAGAGUAACGGAGGAGCACGAAGGUUGGCUAAUCCUGGUCGGACAUCAGGAGGUUAGUGCAAUGGCAUAAGCCAGCUUGACUGCGAGCGUGACGGCGCGAGCAGGUGCGAAAGCAGGUCAUAGUGAUCCGGUGGUUCUGAAUGGAAGGGCCAUCGCUCAACGGAUAAAAGGUACUCCGGGGAUAACAGGCUGAUACCGCCCAAGAGUUCAUAUCGACGGCGGUGUUUGGCACCUCGAUGUCGGCUCAUCACAUCCUGGGGCUGAAGUAGGUCCCAAGGGUAUGGCUGUUCGCCAUUUAAAGUGGUACGCGAGCUGGGUUUAGAACGUCGUGAGACAGUUCGGUCCCUAUCUGCCGUGGGCGCUGGAGAAUUGAGGGGGGCUGCUCCUAGUACGAGAGGACCGGAGUGGACGCAUCACUGGUGUUCGGGUUGUCAUGCCAAUGGCACUGCCCGGUAGCUAAAUGCGGAAGAGAUAAGUGCUGAAAGCAUCUAAGCACGAAACUUGCCCCGAGAUGAGUUCUCCCUGAGACUUUAAGUCUCCUGAAGGAACGUUGAAGACGACGACGUUGAUAGGUCGGGUGUGUAAGCGCAGCGAUGCGUUGAGCUAACCGAUACUAAUGAACCGUGAGGCUUAACCU
rnacentral:rRNA from 1 species